AUGACUUUGGUCUCCGUCCUCAUCUGGACUCUCCUCUGCUGCUGCUUCACAGAGUCCAGAGGCCAGGUCACAGUGACUCAGCCUGGAGCAGUGAGCUCUGAUCUGGGAGCCUCCGCCACCAUCACAUGUACCACCAGUCAGGAUGUUUAUGUUGGGAGCUACCACUGUUUAGCCUGGUACCAACAGAGAGAUGGAGAAAGUCCUAAACUUCUCAUUUACUGGGCCAUCAGUCGACAAUCAGGGAUUUCCAGUCGUUUUUCAGGCAGUGGAUCAAACUCUCAUUUCACUCUGACCAUCAGUGAUGUUCAGGCUGAAGAUGCAGCAGUUUAUUACUGUCAGAGUUAUCACUAUAUCAACAGUCAGAAUGUGUUCACACAGUGAAAAA